rnacentral:tRNA from 2 species
GGGCGCUUGGUCUAGGGGUAUGAUUUUCGCUUCGCAUCUUCUUCUGAGUUCUUUCGAGAUCUUCAGAUGCGCUGUUCUGUGAAAGGUCGUGGGUUCAAUUCCCACAGUGUCCA